rnacentral:lncRNA from 1 species
UGUGAAAGUUUUCAAGACGCCCACAAGUGGAAAAUGCAUUUCCCCCAGCCAAAUAAAACUUCGCCAGAUUCUUAACAGCUGUGUGCAUUGAAAUGACUACUGAAAGAUCCGUCUGCUGCCUGUGGAACUUUCACAGAAGGCAUCGUCUCUGCUGCUCACCAGGACCAGGCCCUGAGUAUUUGCAUACUGGACGUCACUCCAAAAGCCCGCGACCACGGGAUUUCUAGGAUGUUAAUAACUUGCGUGGCCUCCGUGGGUGUCGGACUAUGGGUCGCCGGCAACCACUUCCUCACCACAGACAUCCCUGCUGCCAUCAGCCAUCCAGUGAGACUGUGGGUCUUCAACUGCAUCUUCCAGCUUUUGAUAACAUGGGGGAUGAUUUUUGAGAAACUGAGAAUCUGCUCUAUGCCCCAGUUUGUCCGUUUCGUUCACGAUCUGCCACCACUAAGGAAGCAUCCGGAUGUGGUGGUCAAGGACCUCCGGUUUGGGACAAUCCCCGUGAAGCUGUACCAGCCCAAGGCAUCCACAAGCGGUCUCAGGCCUGGCAUUGUGUUCUUCCAUGGUGGCGGGGGCAUCUUAGGGAGCCUGAAAACACACCAUGGCAUAUGCUGUAAUUUGUGCAAGAAGAGUGAUGCGGUGGUUCUAGCAGUUGGAUACCGCAUGAUGCCUAAGCAUAAGUUUCCAGUGAUAGUAACAGACUGCAUGGUGGGUACAAUCCACUUCUUGAAGUCCUUGAAUACGUAUGGAGUGGAUCCAGCCCGGGUCAUAGUCUGUGGUGACAGUGUGGGCGGGGCCGUGGCAACAGUCCUUUGUCAAAAGUUUGUGGACCGUUCUGAUCUCCCCAAGAUUCGUGCUCAGAUCCUCAUCUAUUCCACUCUCCAGAGCCUGGAUUUCCAGUCCCCUUCCUAUCAGCAGAACAAAAACAUUCCACUGCUCAGCCAGAAUUUGAUCUUCUAUUGUUGGUGUGGUUACCUGGACAUCAGCCCCUCCUGGAGAAGUGCUGUAUUGAAAGGCACCCACUUGCCUGCGGAAGUCUGGGAAAAGUACAGGAAGUGGUUGGGUGCAGAAAACAUCCCAGACAAGUUUAAGAAGAGAGGUUACCUGCCUGUGUCCCGUGAGCCCCUGAAUGAGGCUGCCUAUCUGGAGACAAAAAUCAUUCUAGAUGUGAUGAACUCACCCUUGAUUGCAGACAAUGAAGUAGUGUCUCGGCUCCCUGAAGCUUGCAUCGUGAGCUGUCCCCCUACAAACUACGGACUCUACGAACAGAUGAAGCAGAAAUGGCUCCCACCACCAGAGGUCACCCUCAGAGAGAGCAUUUACACUUCCUCCUACCCCAGACCACCAGCAGGUGCCAUGUCCCAGAGGGAGCAUGCGAUUCCGGUGCCUCCCCCUCGCCUGCAGCCUGUCCCACACUUCUGA